UACGGGGGGGGCAAGCGUUGUUCGGAAUUACUGGGCGUAAAGCGCACGUAGGCGGAUAUUUAAGUCAGGGGUGAAAUCCCAGAGCUCAACUCUGGAACUGCCUUUGAUACUGGGUAUCUUGAGUAUGGAAGAGGUAAGUGGAAUUGCGAGUGUAGAGGUGAAAUUCGUAGAUAUUCGCAGGAACACCAGUGGCGAAGGCGGCUUACUGGUCCGAUACUGACGCUGAGGCACGAAAGCGUGGGGAGCAAACAGG
rnacentral:rRNA from 1 species